rnacentral:rRNA from 1 species
AACGUAGGUGGCGAGCGUUAUCCGGAUUUACUGGGUUUAAAGGGUGUGUAGGCGGACUUUUAAGUCAGGGGUGAAAUCCCGAGGCUCAACCUCGGAACUGCCUUUGAUACUAUUGGUCUUGAAUGUUGUUGAGGUGGGCGGAACGGGUCAUGUAGCGGUGAAAUGCAUAGAUAUGACCCGGAACACCGAUUGCGAAGGCAGCCCGCUAAGCAACUAUUGACGCUGAGGCACGAAAGCGUGGGGAUCAAACAGG